GAGUUUGAUCAUGGCUCAGGAUGAACGCUAGCUACAGGCUUAACACAUGCAAGUCGAGGGGAAACGACAUUGAAAGCUUGCUUUUAAUGGGCGUCGACCGGCGCACGGGUGCGUAACGCGUAUCGAACCUGCCCUUUACUCAGGGAUAGCCUUGCGAAAGUAAGAUUAAUACCUGAUAGUGUUGCGAUGAGGCAUCUUGUUGCAACUAAAGAUUUAUUGGUAAAGGAUGGCGAUGCGUCUGAUUAGGUAGUAGGCGGGGUAACGGCCCACCUAGCCGACGAUCAGUAGGGGUUCUGAGAGGAAGGUCCCCCACAUUGGAACUGAGACACGGCCCAAACUCCUACGGGAGGCAGCAGUAGGGAAUCUUCCGCAAUGGACGCAAGUCUGACGGAGCAACGCCGCGUGAGUGAAGAAGGUUUUCGGAUCGUAAAACUCUGUUGUUAGAGAAGAACAAGUGCUAGAGUAACUGUUAGCGCCUUGACGGUAUCUAACCAGAAAGCCACGGCUAACUACGUGCCAGCAGCCGCGGUAAUACGUAGGUGGCAAGCGUUGUCCGGAUUUAUUGGGCGUAAAGCGAGCGCAGGCGGUUCCUUAAGUCUGAUGUGAAAGCCCCCGGCUCAACCGGGGAGGGUCAUUGGAAACUGGGGAACUUGAGUGCAGAAGAGGAGAGUGGAAUUCCAUGUGUAGCGGUGAAAUGCGUAGAUAUAUGGAGGAACACCAGUGGCGAAGGCGACUCUCUGGUCUGUAACUGACGCUGAGGCUCGAAAGCGUGGGUAGCAAACAGGAUUAGAUACCCUGGUAGUCCACGCCGUAAACGAUGAGUGCUAAGUGUUGGAGGGUUUCCGCCCUUCAGUGCUGCAGUUAACGCAUUAAGCACUCCGCCUGGGGAGUACGACCGCAAGGUUGAAACUCAAAGGAAUUGACGGGGACCCGCACAAGCGGUGGAGCAUGUGGUUUAAUUCGAAGCAACGCGAAGAACCUUACCAAGUCUUGACAUCCUUUGACCACUCUAGAGAUAGAGCUUUCCCUUCGGGGACAAAGUGACAGGUGGUGCAUGGUUGUCGUCAGCUCGUGUCGUGAGAUGUUGGGUUAAGUCCCGCAACGAGCGCAACCCUUAUUACUAGUUGCCAGCAUUCAGUUGGGCACUCUAGUGAGACUGCCGGUGACAAACCGGAGGAAGGUGGGGAUGACGUCAAAUCAUCAUGCCCCUUAUGACUUGGGCUACACACGUGCUACAAUGGAUGGUACAACGAGCAGCGAACUCGCGAGGGUAAGCGAAUCUCUUAAAGCCAUUCUCAGUUCGGAUUGUAGGCUGCAACUCGCCUACAUGAAGCCGGAAUCGCUAGUAAUCGCGGAUCAGCACGCCGCGGUGAAUACGUUCCCGGGUCUUGUACACACCGCCCGUC
rnacentral:rRNA from 1 species